rnacentral:snoRNA from 1 species
UCUUGUCGGUGAUGAUGAAUGUCUAAUCCCAGCUCUAUGAGACUUUUUUCAAAGGUUUGGGAAUUGAAAUCUUAAUCCAACAUUUAUCUGAGCCUAAAC